UACGGGGGGGAGCAAGCGUUGUUCGGAUUUACUGGGCGUUAAAGGGCGCGUAGGCGGCGCAACAAGUCACUUGUGAAAUCUCCGGGCUUAACCCGGAGCGGUCAAGUGAUACUGUCGUGCUAGAGGUGCGGAAGGGGCUACUGGAAUUCUCGGUGUAGCGGUGAAAUGCGUAGAUAUUGGGAAGAACACCUGAGGCGAAGGCGGGUUGCUGGGCCGACACUGACGCUG
rnacentral:rRNA from 1 species